UACGUAGGUGGCAAGCGUUGUCCGGAUUUACUGGGCGUAAAGAGCGCGCAGGCGGUCGUCCAAGUCGCGUGUGAAAGCCCCCGGCGCAACUGGGGAGGGUCACGCGAUACUGGUCGACUCGAAGGCAGGAGAGGGUAGUGGAAUUCCCGGUGUAGUGGUGAAAUGCGUAGAUAUCGGGAGGAACACCAGUGGCGAAGGCGACUUCCUGGCCUGUUCUUGACGCUGAGGCGCGAAAGCUAGGGGAGCAAACGGG
rnacentral:rRNA from 1 species